rnacentral:rRNA from 1 species
GGGCCCGCACAAGCAGUGGAGUAUGUGGUUUAAUUCGAAGAUACGCGAAAAACCUUACCAGAACUUGACAUCCCGAGAAGUCUUCCGAAGGGAAGAUGUGCCGUUUACGGAACUCGGUGACAGGUGGUGCAUGGUUGUCGUCAGCUCGUGUCGUGAGAUGUUGGGUUAAGUCCCGCAACGAGCGCAACCCUUAUUGCUAGUUGCCAUCAUUCAGUUGGGCACUCUAGCGAGACUGCCGUUGACAAAACGGAGGAAGGUGGGGAUGAUGUCAAAUCAUCAUGCCCCUUAUGUUCUGGGCUACACACGUACUACAAUGGGAUGCACAACGGGAAGCCAAGCCGUGAGGUGGAGCAAAUCCCUAAAAACAUUCCUCAGUUCGGAUAGGAGGCUGAAACUCGCCUCCUUGAAGCUGGAAUUGCUAGUAAUCGCGAAUCAGCAUGUCG